rnacentral:piRNA from 1 species
CCCCCAGAUGCUAAUGGAUCUUGUGAGA